rnacentral:rRNA from 1 species
AUUGAACGCUGGCGGAAUGCUUUACACAUGCAAGUCGAACGGCAGCACGGGGGCAGCCCUGGUGGCGAGUGGCGAACGGGUGAGUAAUACAUCGGAACGUGCCCGGUCGUGGGGGAUAACGUAGCGAAAGUUACGCUAAUACCGCAUACGAUCUGAGGAUGAAAGCGGGGGACCUUCGGGCCUCGCGCGAUCGGAGCGGCCGAUGUCAGAUUAGGUAGUUGGUGGGGUAAAGGCCUACCAAGCCGACGAUCUGUAGCUGGUCUGAGAGGACGACCAGCCACACUGGGACUGAGACACGGCCCAGACUCCUACGGGAGGCAGCAGUGGGGAAUUUUGCACAAUGGGCGCAAGCCUGAUCCAGCCAUUCCGCGUGCAGGACGAAGGCCUUCGGGUUGUAAACUGCUUUUGUACGGAACGAAAAGGCUCUGGCUAAUACCUGGGGCUCAUGACGGUACCGUAAGAAUAAGCACCGGCUAACUACGUG